rnacentral:rRNA from 1 species
CGCGUUGGAUUAGCUAGUUGGUGGGGUAAAGGCCUACCAAGGCGACGAUCCAUAGCUGGUCUGAGAGGAUGAUCAGCCACAUUGGGACUGAGACACGGCCCAAACUCCCACGGGAGGCAGCAGUGGGGAAUAUUGGACAAUGGGCGCAAGCUGAUCCAGCCAUGCCGCGUGAGUGAUGAAGGCCCUAGGGUUGUAAAGCUCUUUCACCGGAGAAGAUAAUGACGGUAUCCGGAGAAGAAGCCCCGGCUAACUUCGUGCCAGCAGCCGCGGUAAUACGAAGGGGGCUAGCGUUGUUCGGAAUUACUGGGCGUAAAGCGCACGUAGGCGGACAUUUAAGUCAGGGGUGAAAUCCCAGAGCUCAACUCUGGAACUGCCUUUGAUACUGGGUGUCUGGAGUAUGGAAGAGGUGAGUGGAAUUCCGAGUGUAGAGGUGAAAUUCGUAGAUAUUCGGAGGAACACCAGUUGCGAAGGCGGCUCACU